UUACUCAUUGCACAUUGCACCUUAAAUAAAUGACUCAUAAAAUCUCUACCCAUUGAACAUGCUCUAAAAUGAGUUAUUGACCGUCAUGUUAUCGAUACACAGAAGGGCUAUGUUGCAGGAGAUUUUUCAGAUUGUGGUUUGACCUGUAUGUAUUUGACAUGGAGGUUUGUCUUGCAAAAAAAAAU
rnacentral:sRNA from 1 species